AUAACGACGGGAAACUGUCGCUAAUACCGCGUAGUGUCGAGAGACGAAAGUGCGGGACUGAGAGGCCGCAUGCCAUAGGAUGAGCCCAAGUGGGAUUAGGUAGUUGGUGGGGUAAAGGCCUACCAAGCCUGCGAUCUCUAGCUGGUCUGAGAGGAUGACCAGCCACACUGGAACUGAGACACGGUCCCAGACUCCUACGGGAGGGCAGCAGUGGGGGAAUACUGCGCAAUGGGGGGAACCCUGACGCAGCCAUGCCGCGUGAAUGAAGAAGGCCUUCGGGUUGUAAAGUUCUUUCGGUAUUGAGGAAGGUUGAUGUGUUAAUAGCACAUCAAAUUGACGUUAAAUACAGAAGAAGCACCGGCUAACUCCGUGCCAGCAGCCGCGGUAAUACGGAGGGUGCGAGCGUUAAUCGGAAUAACUGGGCGUAAAGGGCACGCAGGCGGUUAUUUAAGUGAGGUGUGAAAGCCCCGGGCUUAACCUGGGAAUUGCAUUUCAGACUGGGUAACUAGAGUACUUUAGGGAGGGGUAGAAUUCCACGUGUAGCGGUGAAAUGCGUAGAGAUGUGGAGGAAUACCGAAGGCGAAGGCAGCCCCUUGGGAAUGUACUGACGCUCAUGUGCGAAAGCGUGGGGAGCAAACAGGAUUAGAUACCCUGGUAGUCCACGCUG
rnacentral:rRNA from 1 species